rnacentral:rRNA from 1 species
AGAGUUUGAUCCUGGCUCAGGAUGAACGCUAGCUACAGGCUUAACACAUGCAAGUCGAGGGGAAACGACAUCGAAAGCUUGCUUUUGAUGGGCGUCGACCGGCGCACGGGUGAGUAACGCGUAUCCAACCUGCCCACCACUUGGGGAUAACCUUGCGAAAGUAAGACUAAUACCCAAUGAUAUCUCUAGAAGACAUCUGAAAGAGAUUAAAGAUUUAUCGGUGAUGGAUGGGGAUGCGUCUGAUUAGCUUGUUGGCGGGGUAACGGCCCACCAAGGCAACGAUCAGUAGGGGUUCUGAGAGGAAGGUCCCCCACAUUGGAACUGAGACACGGUCCAAACUCCUACGGGAGGCAGCAGUGAGGAAUAUUGGUCAAUGGGCGAGAGCCUGAACCAGCCAAGUAGCGUGCAGGAUGACGGCCCUAUGGGUUGUAAACUGCUUUUAUAAGGGAAUAAAGUGAGAGUCGUGACUCUUUUUGCAUGUACCUUAUGAAUAAGGACCGGCUAAUUCCGUGCCAGCAGCCGCGGUAAUACGGAAGGUCCGGGCGUUAUCCGGAUUUAUUGGGUUUAAAGGGAGCGUAGGCCGGAGAUUAAGCGUGUUGUGAAAUGUAGAUGCUCAACAUCUGCACUGCAGCGCGAACUGGUUUCCUUGAGUACGCACAAAGUGGGCGGAAUUCGUGGUGUAGCGGUGAAAUGCUUAGAUAUCACGAAGAACUCCGAUUGCGAAGGCAGCUCACUGGAGCGCAACUGACGCUGAAGCUCGAAAGUGCGGGUAUCGAACAGGAUUAGAUACCCUGGUAGUCCGCACGGUAAACGAUGGAUGCCCGCUGUUGGUCUGAAUAGGUCAGCGGCCAAGCGAAAGCAUUAAGCAUCCCACCUGGGGAGUACGCCGGCAACGGUGAAACUCAAAGGAAUUGACGGGGGCCCGCACAAGCGGAGGAACAUGUGGUUUAA